rnacentral:rRNA from 1 species
ACGGGAGGCAGCAGUGGGGAAUAUUGCACAAUGGGGGAAACCUGAUGCAGCAACGCCGCGUGAGUGAAGAAGUAUUUCGGUAUGUAAAGCUCUAUCAGCAGGGAAGAUAAUGACGGUACCUGACUAAGAAGCUCCGGCUAAAUACGUGCCAGCAGCCGCGGUAAUACGUAUGGAGCAAGCGUUAUCCGGAUUUACUGGGUGUAAAAGGUGCGUAGGUGGCAGUGCAAGUCAGAUGUGAAAGGCCGGGGCUCAACCCCGGAGCUGCAUUUGGAACUGUCAUGCUAGAGUGCAGGAGGGGUGAGCGGAAUUCCUAGUGUAGCGGUGAAAUGCGUAGAUAUUAGGAGGAACACCGGAGGCGAAGGCGGCUCACUGGACUGUAACUGACACUGAGGCUCGAAAGCGUGGGGAGCAAACAGGAUUAGAUACCCUGGUAGUCCACGCGGUAAACGAUGAAUACUAGAUGUCGGGAAGCAUUGCUUCUCGGUGUC